rnacentral:lncRNA from 15 species
CUAACAAAUGACUUAAGUGUAGUUUAAUACGAAUAAAACCAACAGAACAAAAAAGAUCCAUAGAAAAUUGUACAAAUUUUGUCUCAGGAAAUCUUGGAAAUUUGGCAGACUCCUGCUCACUGAAACGUUCCAUUUGUUUUGCAUUAUACUUUUGUGUGUUUUAAUGUAGAGAUUAAGAUGUUUUUUUUUUUUUUAUCUGCUACUGUAGCAACAAAUUUUGUUCCUUGUAGGAUCAGAAGAAAAAAAAUGCCCACCUGGUGUGUGCGUGUGUGUGCAGAAAUCAGAGCUACAUGUGACUCAAGACUCAAACAUUGACAUGGUCCAGUGUUUCCAUUACUGGAGUCACAACAGAGAAGUUAAAAGAACCAAAAAGAAGAAGAGGUUUUGAACCUCUUUUAAAGAGACCACUGGUGUGCACACUGGCCACAUCCUGCAGAAACCUUGUGUCACUCAGAAAAAGGGAAACACCUUGCCUUACAAUAACAUAAAAUGACUGAAAUACAGGGUUUAUUUUAGAAGUGCUAGCUUACUGCUAAUAAAUGCAUAUUCAUACAAGGUCCCUGCAAGAGUGUGUGUGUGUGUGUGUCUGUGUCUGUGUGAGAAGCUUCAAACUGCUUAAUAAGCACUAUGAUUCACCUGUUAAAUGAAAUGUAGGGCUGGUCGUUGUUGUUAUUGCACUUUCAUUAUUAAGUUGGCUCGUGAUCUGUGGUGUCAGUCAAAUGUUGUCAGUUUUCUUUUCAUCUUGACAAACGAUCUUAAAGCUGGACAGAAAACACACUCUGCUGUCAGCAGCUGUAAAUAUUAAAUGAAUAUGACUGUUUCUGCUCUGUUCAAUUUUGUUGUUACCUAGUUUGUGUUCACAAGUGCUCUGUGUUUAAAGUGACGCUGUUCCCUUUAAAUCUCUCCCUGACUGAAGUAUCACAUCUGUAUGGUAGUGUGAGUCUAUUACAGUUUCUGUUUCUGUUCCACAUUUUUCCCUGUGGAUGUUCAGAGACAUUUUCUUUGAUUUGUAUAGUCUCUGUACUGUUUUCUUUUUCUUUGCCUCAACAGUUUGAAAAUUGAGAAUAAAUGUUACAUUUCCAUCAGAAAAACAAAAGUCAAAAGUGUCAUCUUUUUUUUAGAGCAGAUUGGCAUCUCCACUGUUUCCUUCCACUGAGUUUGACCAAGCAGAACAGUUAUAUUAAACUGUCUGCCAUGUGAAUAUUCCCUGUGGAUCUGUAGUCAUUUAUUUCAGCGUGUAGACAUCAGUUCACCAUUCAGUAACAAAAGGUCUCAUCUUAUUUUUUCUACAGCACGUAAUUAAGAAUAAAGAAAAUCAGGUUUAUCUCAAUAAUAAUAAUAAACAAAACUGCUUCCUCAGUGGAAGGUAUAUAAUGUCCUUUUGGCAUUUAGCUCGCUGUUCCUCCAUCAUCAGUCGGAGAGGAGCUUUCUGCCGGUCUUAUCCUCCACAUCAGUCACAUUUAACAGAAUAUUGUGGACAAACAAAACUGAAAUAAGUCAGCUGUUAUUUUCAACCUGUGUAUUCCAGAAGACAAUCUGAUUUUACAGUCAACAAUCCCCACUAGACACAUGAAUGUUCAAAACUGACAAAUACACUGAAAAGAUUCUUUGAUUGAAUUUUCUGUGAACGAGGAUUUAAAGUUUAUUUUUCAGGUAAAGUGUAACAGUGUUUUAUUGGGAAAGCAUUUUCAUGCGGAGUGAACAGAACUUCUGGUAUCUUUAUUUGUACACUUUCAGUCAACAAAAUUAUCUUCACCUAGAAUCUGUUAGAGAUGCAGUUUCAUUCUAAAUGAAUUCCUGCAAAGCAAGUCAGUCUAGUUCCUGAAAAAAAACAAGUAAUUUAGUAUAGUAGCAAGUCCAUAUCUUAUUGUUAACAGUGGUAGCCAGUUGGAAAACAUCCAGGGGAUUCUGAGGUCUUUAUCCUAAAGUAAACCAGAUUGCUUUAAUAAUGCAUAUAAAUCCCUCCAUUUAUCACAGCAAAGAUAAGAUGCAAUGCUGCAUUUUGUUCACAGCCAGAACUCCCACUGACUUUGGUCAGAGCUGAGCUGUGAACAACCGACCUUAGGACACCUCAGGGUUGAGAAAUCUUGUAUGAAUUUCCCACAUGAACUUCAAACUAAAAGGAUUGUACAUCAAGGAUUGUCCUCGGAGACUAUUGAAGUUCUUUGAAGUUGAAUGCAGACAACACAACUUUGGCUAGGAUUUUCUUGUCCUAGAUACAUUUUGGAGAUCUGAGACUGAAACCCAUGGAGUCGGAAGAGAAUCCACGUUAUUUCCCAUCCCAACGAUUUGUCUAGUUUGAG